AGAAUUGACUAGACAAUCGCUGCUUUAUCGUUGUCCUCUAGGGGAGACAGAUAAGGGGGAGGAAAGUCCGGGCUCCAUAGGACAGAGUGCCAGGUAACGCCUGGGCAACUUAGGUUGACGACUAGUGCAACAGAGAGUAUACCGCCGAUGGCUCGAAAGAGAUCAGGUAAGGGUGAAAGGGUGCGGUAAGAGCGCACCGCGCGACUGGUAACAGUUCGUGGCACGGUAAACUCCACUCGGAGCAAGGUCAAAUAGGAGUUCGUUAAGUGUGGUCCGCACGGAACUCGGGUAGACUGCUUGAACCAAUGAGUGAUUAUUGGUCUAGAGGAAUGAUUGUCCAAGACAGAACCCGGCUUAUCGGUCAAUUCUCACU
rnacentral:RNase_P_RNA from 1 species